rnacentral:rRNA from 1 species
AGCGAACGCUGGCGGCAGGCCUAACACAUGCAAGUCGAGCGGGCACCGCAAGGUGUCAGCGGCAGACGGGAGAGCAACACGUGGGAACGUGUCCUUCGGUCCGGAAUAACUCGGGGAAACCCGUGCUAAUACCGGAUACGACCUUACGGGGAUAGAUUUAUCGCCGAUGGAGCGGCCGGCGACUGAUUAGCUAGUUGGUGAAGUAAUGGCUCACCAAGGCGACGAUCAGUAGCUGGUCUGAGAGGAUGAUCAGCCUCACUGGGACUGAGACACGGCACAGACUCCUACGGGAGGCAGCAGGGGGGAAUAUUGGACAAUGGGCGCAAGCCUGAUCCAGCCAGGCCGCGUGGAUGAUGAAGGCCUUAGGGUUGUAAAGUCCUUUUAACGGGGAAGAUAAUGACGGUACCCGUAGAAUAAGCCCCGGCUAACUUCGUGCCAGCAGCCGCCGUAA